rnacentral:lncRNA from 1 species
AUGUCGGCGCUGCUUCCCGGACCGGGCCACGCCGUGACCGGCCGCAGCGACACGGCACCUGAGCGGGACGGCGCCGGGCGGCCGGUCACGGAGCAUCGGACACGCGGGACCAUGACCCGCAUCACGGCCGGGUCAUCAUCAUCAUCAUCAUCAUCAUCAUCAUCAUCAUCAUCAUCAUCAUCCGCAGCGCCGGGCUCGGCCCACGCGGCUGGUACGGCGCGACACGACCCGCACGGAGCGGAUCCGCGUUCCGUUCCAUCCCGUUCCGUUCCAUCCCGUUCCAUUCCGUUCCAUCCCGUUCCAUCCCGUUCCAUCCCAUCCCAUUCCGUUCCGUUCCGUUCCAUCCCAUUCCAUCCCGUUCCAUUCCGUUCCAUCCCGUUCCAUCCCAUCCCAUUCCGUUUAAUCCCGUUCCAUCCCAUUCCGUUCCGUUCCAUCCCGUUCCAUUCCUAUUCUAUCCCGUUCCAUCCCGUUCCAUCCCAUUCCGUUCCGUUCCAUCCCGUUCCGUUCCCCUCACUCCUCCCCUCCCCGCCCCCGUUUCCCCAUCGGCUCCUCCCUCCCCCGGCCCCUCCCCCCCCAGGCCCUGUUCUCCCCCGCAGGCCCAUUUCUAGGCCUCUCCUCCCCGCUCCCCGCCGCUCCCCGCUCCCUCCCGGUUCCUCCCCGUCCCUCCGCCCGUUCUCCCCUCGCUGUCCCCUCCCGGUCCGGUUGCGGCCCGUUCUCACCUGGUUCCGGUCCGGCCCGGCGGUGCAGCGGGACUCGAACGGCUCCGCAGCGCGCACAACAAGCCGCUCGCAGCGCCGCCGGACACGCCCCCCCGCCCCCGCCCGCCGAGCGCCAUUGGACGCCGCGCGCACGUGUCCCGCGUCUCAUUGGUCCGCCGGGCCGUCCGUCACGCGGCCGCCGCGAGCUGCGGGGGGAGGGGCGCCGAGCCGGGGUGGGAACGGGGGAAACGGGGGGAGGUGGGGGAACGGGAACGGGAAUGGGAAUAGGAAUGGGAAUGGGAAUGGGAAUGGGAAUGGGAAUGGGAAUGGGAAUGGGAAUGGGAAUGGGAAUGGGAAUGGGAACGGCGGGAGGAGGAGGGAGACACGGCACCGGGAUCGGUGCUGCUGA